rnacentral:misc_RNA from 1 species
GUGUUCCUCUUGUCGACUUUGAGAACCGCGCACGAGCGCUGGGCAUCACCAAUAUCGAGCGCUUCUAUACGAGUGACCUCUUGCGCGCCCGACGUUUCGAGCUCGAUCGCCGCCACGGUUACAUCAUCAAGCACAUUUAAACCUAUCUGCUGGUAUAUCUGGUGAGGCCUGGUACGCCCCGAGGCACUGCCGCUGACUAAGCAAGCACCAGCUUUACGCUCUCGAGCAGUCCUGGCGACCGCUGCUCUAGCCCAGAACGCCUAGAUAGUCGGCCCGCAGCGUCCCGACGGCCGCGAUCUCCGUAGCGUCACGACGCAUACCCACAAUACGCAAGCGUACCAUGGUGCCUACCUCUAAUCGAUCCUCGCUACCCUGAACAACAGAGGCGAAGCACUGCUCGCUAUCGUCAAACUCCAUGUCACUGGGGACGUUACGCGCGCUCACGAAAACGCUGAGCGGUCCGACCGCCACGAAUACCCCGUGUCGCGUAACCGAUGCGAUGACACCGUCCAGAACCUCACCCAAGAACGGUCGAUAUACCAGCGCUUUGUAACGAAGUCGAAAGAUAGCGUGUCCGGUUCCGGGAAGGAUUCUACCGGGCGGGAGUGGUCGCUCGACCUCGACCACGGCGAGCAGGUAACCAUAGAGGCCGGAGGUUGUUCCCUCGGUCAGUGUCAGCAGUCGAUUGAUGACGUGAUCGGGAAGCUUUGCGUGAAAAUGUCUCGGAUGAACCGUGACGCUUUUUGUGAGUUCCAGUAUAAAGAACGCCAUCAGCAGCUACUGCACAACAACAUCCACCGCCACCUUUCGUCGAGGAGCAAGCACCAGCCGGUGAGGCUGUGCAGCGGUUACACACCGCAGCAACGCGCUACGGCCUCAACAUGCAUCCAAAUGAGUCAAACGUGACAAAACAACGGGAACUAGUCACUGAUGUGUUGCACCUGUACCGGCAGACGCGAUACGGACCCGUCACUAGCAACCCGAUAACAGUGUCGUUGCAGCUUCAUGGAAAGCAUCGCAAGCGGGGGAAAGGUUUCCGUACUCUGGAACGUUUACUUUCUAGGUGGACGGUUCCGCGAGCGGGACUAGACUGCCAGGUCUGGUGCUUCUUGCUCGGCCCAGUGUGGCGGGUGCUUUCGUGAGAUCUGAACAGCUCGUCCACAACGCAGUUUAUUCUGGGACUAGGGGCCGGUUAUUUGCAUCCGGGUGUCGUCCUGGUUGCGGUGGUCUCCGAGCAUAUCGCUUCGCCUAGUCGCCGGCAUUCGGUUUGUUUGCGCAGCGUACCGGCCCGCACGGCGUGAUCAUGUAGCCCGCGGACCCUCUAUCAAGGGAAGCAUUCCUCGUGCCGACCCACCGCCAGUUAUAUGACAAGGCCGUUCCGCGUACGUGCUGCAUCCGCACCGGCGGUCUAGGCGCUAUGGCGGGUGCAGCAAGGCAAGCACUCGGCAUACGCUAGAACGUACGAACACGACCAGUGCAUCCGAGAGGAAGAAGACGUGAUGGAACUUUGAGGUAGAGUGCAUCGUCAUGGACGCUUUUCCGAGUGCCAGUAUGCAUUCCGCAAUCCGGAGUCUAUGCUCAAUGUAAAUAUUUUGUCAAACAGACAGAAAAACACACCCGGCAACGUUGAAUGCCCCGCCCAGCGCCGGUGUGCGCCCCGUGCGGGACCCGUAAGCGCCAUGUGCACUGGAUGAGCGCUUUGGUCUCAUCGUUGAAAUGAUCUGGAUGUUGUUGGACGUUCGAUGGUUGCCAUCAAGACGAGAAGAGAGCGAGUCUGCUCCAAAUAGCACCCCGUUUCCCAGCGCUCAAGAACAGACGUCCGGUCGGGAACAGGGAUGCGUUCAGUCGACUUCGUACAUUCGAGUUUUCCGUACGCGCCGGAUGCACUGCACGAGUUCCCCUACGAUACAGAACACUGAGUCCGUGCUUGAAUCAUCAACUGAAUGAAGAUGUAACGAAUGAGCACUGCACAGUAGCGGCGCUAUCAUUCAAUCAAUCAUUCACUCAAUGUUUCUUUCUUUCAUGCAAUCAUCCAUUCAAUCACUCAUGCUUUCUUUGACUCAUUCACUCAAUGUUUCUUUCUUUCAUGCAAUCAUCCAUUCAAUCAUUCACGCUUUCUUUCUUUCACUCAUUCAAUUACUCAAUCUUUCCUUCUUUUCAUCCAAUCAUCCAUUCAAUUAUUCACGCUUUCUUUCUUUCACUCAUUCAAUCACUCAAUCUUUCUUUCUUUCUUUCAAAAUGGCUGAUGCGCACGUGCUCGCCUCUGCGGUAUUCGUAACGCACUCGGCGUUGCUGAACGCAACGUGUAUUUUUUUGUCAAACCUAUUACGUUCUGCAACUUCACGCGCACCACAAACGUCAGUGAGAAGCGUCUUCCGCGAACGACGGCUCGUUACGCGGCAGAUCCACUUCACGGUAGCGUUUACAGGUCGCUUGCACGAGCUACAACGACACAGCACGGUGGGCAAUGUUCUGCACCUUGGCCGGCUACCGUUGGCUGAACAGUGGCUCGCUACUGAGACGUUUGUCGCAGCGAGCAGUGCGCCGCUUGCCGACAGCACCGCUGUGCCACCUGCACAACGGCGCCACUGAAAGCGCAGCCUCAAACGGAGCUCUACGCAUUGUCGACGAAAAGGUUGCCUACCGACGCUAUGCAACCGUGUUUGAACGAACUGUACAGUACCCGGACGGCCGCCACGUCACUUAUGACAUUCUCGGUCAGCCGGCCGUUCAGAGCGCCUCGGUGCUGGUGUUUCCCUUUGAUACGCAAAGCAAAACCUGCUACGUUAUUCGAGAGUACUGUCCAGGUCCGAACCGUGUACUCUAUGGCUUUCCAGCUGGUAUGGUCGAAACGAAACACGAAUCAUUGGAAGCCGCUGCUCGGGCAGAGCUUUCGGAGGAAGCACAUCUGCGUUGUGCGCAACUCAUCGAUCUGACAGCUCAGGCCGCAGUUUGGGAGCGGUCCUUCGAAGUGCCGAAUACCGCAUCAGAUGCUGAGAACUGUCUGCGAGGAUUCUUCGCUGACAAGUACUCCCGGAAUGUCUGCAAAAUGUAUUUGGCGUUGAAUCCCGAGCCCGAUGGACACCCCGGCUCGAUGGACGCUGAGGAGCUUAUCGAGCAGGUUGGUGCGGUACGGGUGCCGCAGUUGGAAGCGUGGCUCUGGAGUGGUCAAAUGACCAUGCCACACAUGCUGCUCGCGAUGUGCGCGUUGACUUACCUGCGACAGCGCGGGAUGCUGACGUAGCGCUCUCGGUCGUUUUCGCAGUCGAUUGCUAGACCAGAGCUCAGCACGCUCUGCGCACGAUGUCCAUGGUCGGGCAGAGACCCUUAUGGAAUGCAUCCGCGACGUGACUCUAGUCGUCGUUGUGUGCGAUAGGCGACUUUCUCAAGCGUGCAUGUACGUACUCUUUUGUCGCUGCGAUGUGCUUCGAACAUGACCCAUCACGGCUGGUUCGGGUCUAAACGUAAAGAACCUCCAAU